AUUGAACGCUGGCGGCAGGCCUAACACAUGCAAGUCGAACGGUAACAGGAAGAAGCUUGCUUCUUUGCUGACGAGUGGCGGACGGGUGAGUAAUGUCUGGGAAACUGCCUGAUGGAGGGGGAUAACUACUGGAAACGGUAGCUAAUACCGCAUAACUUCGCAAGACCAAAGAGGGGGACCUUCGGGCCUCUUGCCAUCGGAUGUGCCCAGAUGGGAUUAGCUAGUAGGUGGUGUAACGGCUCACCUAGGCGACGAUCCCUAGCUGGUCUGAGAGGGUGACCGGCCACACGGGAACUGAGACAGGGUCCGGACUCCGAGGGGAGGAAGCGGUGGGGAAUCUUGCGCAAGGGGCGAAAGCGUGAGGCAGCAAGGCCGCGUGAGUGAGGAAGGUCUUCGGAUCGUAAAGUUCUGUAAGGGGGGAGGAAGGAAAGAGAAUUAAACCCUGUACUUAUUGACGUUACCGGAAGAAAAAGCCCCGGCUAACUCCGUG
rnacentral:rRNA from 1 species